GCGUAGGAAUCUGCCUGGUAGUGGGGGACAACAUGUGGAAACGCAUGCUAAUACCGCAUACGCCCUACGGGGGAAGGGAGGGGAUCUUCGGACCUUUCGCUAUCAAAUGAGCCUGCGUGAGAUUAGCUAGUUGGUGGGGUAAAGGCUCACCAAGGCGACAAUCUCUAGCUGGUCUGAAAGGAUGAUCAGCCACACUGGGACUGAAACACGGCCCAAACUCCUACGGGAGGCAGCAGUGGGGAAUAUUGGACAAUGGGCGCAAGCCUGAUCCACCCAUGCCGCGUGUGUGAAGAAGGCCUUCGGGUUGUAAAGCACUUUCAAAGGUGAGGAAGGGUGCGUAGUUAAUACCUGCGUACUUUGACGUUAACCUC
rnacentral:rRNA from 1 species